rfam:Astyanax mexicanus Tnplaced_Scaffold_2893, whole genome shotgun sequence.
AACUUUUUCCCCUAGGCCUGCUGACGUAGCCUACAGAGAAGUCUGCAUGGUACGAAGGGAGGAAAAGUU